UACGUAGGGUGCAAGCGUUGUCCGGAAUUAUUGGGCGUAAAGAGCUUGUAGGCGGUUUGUCGCGUGUGCUGUGAAAUUUCGGGGCUCAACCCCGAACUUGCAGUGGGUACGGGCAGACUAGAGUGUGGUAGGGGAGACUGGAAUUCCUGGUGUAGCGGUGAAAUGCGCAGAUAUCAGGAGGAACACCGAUGGCGAAGGCAGGUCUCUGGGCCACUACUGACGCUGAGAAGCGAAAGCAUGGGGAGCGAACAGG
rnacentral:rRNA from 1 species